UUUCAUACGUUGAACUUUCAUCAUCUCCCAUAUCCGUUCUUCUUUUUCUUUUUUCUUCUUCUCUCUCACACACUGCGAUAGAAAUCAAAACACAC
rnacentral:ribozyme from 14 species